CAAAGAGUAGUUAAAAUAGAAUGCUAGCUUUGGGAGUUGGUGAUGGGAGUUAAAAUCUCUCCUCUUUGA
rnacentral:tRNA from 1 species